rnacentral:tRNA from 1 species
CAGUAAAUAUUUUAAUUUAAAAUAUUAAUUUUGGAGAUUAAAGAUAAGUUUGGGCUUUUUACUGA